AUUGAACGCUGGCGGCAGGCCUAACACAUGCAAGUCGAGCGGAUGAAGGGAGCUUGCUCCUGGAUUCAGCGGCGGACGGGUGAAUAAUGCCUAGGAAUCUGCCUGGUAGUGGGGGAUAACGUCCGGAAACGGGCGCUAAUACCGCAUACGUCCUGAGGGAGAAAGUGGGGGAUCUUCGGACCUCACGCUAUCAGAUGAGCCUAGGUCGGAUUAGCUAGUUGGUGGGGUAAAGGCCUACCAAGGCGACGAUCCGUAACUGGUCUGAGAGGAUGAUCAGUCACACUGGAACUGAGACACGGUCCAGACUCCUACGGGAGGCAGCAGUGGGGAAUAUUGGACAAAGGGCGAAAGCCUGAUCCAGCCAUGCCGCGUGUGUGAAGAAGGUCUUCGGAUUGUAAAGCACUUUAAGUUGGGAGGAAGGGCAGUAAGUUAAUACCUUGCUGUUUUGACGUUACCAACAGAAUAAGCACCGGCUAACUUCGUG
rnacentral:rRNA from 1 species